CCUACGGGUGGCUGCAGUGGGGGAUAUUGGACAAUGGGGGAAACCCUGAUCCAGCGACGCCGCGUGAGUGAAGAAGUAUUUCGGUAUGUAAAGCUCUAUCAGCAGGGAAGAAAGAAAUGACGGUACCUGAGUAAGAAGCCGCGGCUAACUACGUACCAGCAGCCGCGGUAACACGUAGGGGGCACGCGGUAUCCGGAAUUACAGGGUGUAAAGGGAGCGUAGAGGGUAGUGCAAGUCUGGAGUGAAAGGCGGGGGCCCAACCCCGGGACUGCUCUGGAAACUGUGGAGCUGGAGUGCUGGAGAGGGAGGCGGAAUUCCUAGUGUAGCGGUGAAAUGCGUAGAUAUUAGGAGGAACACCAGUGGCGAAGGCGGCCUGCUGGACUGUAACUGACGUUGAGGCUCGAAAGCGUGGGGAGCAAACAGGAUUAGAUACCCCUGUAGUC
rnacentral:rRNA from 1 species